CGUAAACUCCAGAUCAUUGAAAAAAUUUACAGCAUCACAGCAGUAACUUAGGAACGCAUCACAGCAGUAACUUAGGAAACGACAAGAAAUGCUAUGCACAGCUGCAGGGUUUGGUUUCAGGGGUAUAUACGGUAUAAAGGCAAACAUUUUGAGUGUCACUUUAAGUAGAAAAUGCAGAAAAUGCAAUAUUCACGUUAUGUGGUUACGCGCUUUUCUGGUAUGCUUAUUCGAACGCAAUUCUGCAUUCCCUAAGGUCAUCCGAAGCCCUGGGGCUGCGGGACGAGAACUUUUGUUCUUUGAAGUCGAGAGAGAAGGUAGGAAUUAUACUUCCUAAGACUUUGCUUGGCUUUCACCGCUACCAAGCAACAACAAAAGAUGUUGAUGCAAUGAUACAAGUUCGAAUUAAUGCUAUGGGAGGAGCUGCGAAGAGUGCUAGAAAAUUUAUCCCUUUGGGCAUAUAAUUUGGAAAAGGAAGGUCUUUCGAAAACGUUCAAGACAUUAACUACCUUCUCGCGGGAUUUAUGUUUUAAAAAAAAUGUGCAAUAAAUAAGCUGCUAUAGAC
rnacentral:lncRNA from 1 species